UAACAAGGAUUCCCCUAGUAACUGCGAGUGAAGCGGGAAGAGCUCAAAUUUAAAAUCUGGCGGCUUUGUGGUCGUCCGAGUUGUAGUCUGGAGAAGUGUUAUCCGCGUCGGACCGUGUACAAGUCUCCUGGAACGGAGCGUCAUAGAGGGUGAGAAUCCCGUCCAUGACACGGACCGCCGAUGCUUUGCGAGGCACUCUCGAAGAGUCGAGUUGUUUGGGAAUGCAGCUCAAAAUGGGUGGUAAAUUCCAUCUAAAGCUAAAUAUUGGCGAGAGACCGAUAGCGAACAAGUACCGUGAGGGAAAGAUGAAAAGCACUUUGGAAAGAGAGUUAAACAGUACGUGAAAUUGUUGAAAGGGAAACGCUUGAAGUCAGUCGCGUGCGUUAGAACUCAGCCUGGCUUCGGCCUGGUGUACUUUCUAUCGUACGGGUCAACGUCAAUUUUGGACGGUGGACAAAGGCGAGGGGAAUGUAGCGCGGCUUCGGCGGCGUGUUAUAGCCACUUGUUGUAUACACCGGCUGGGAUUGAGGACGGCAGCACGCCCUUGUGGCCGGGGGUUCGCCCCACGUAACGUGCUUAGGAUGUUGGCAUAAUGGCUUUAAGCGACCCGUCUUGAAACACGGACCAAGGAGUCUAACAUGCUUGCGAGUGUUCGGGUGGAAAACCCUUGCGCGUAAUGAAAGUGAAAGUUGGGAGCCUCCGCGAGGGGGUGCACUGACGCCCGGCCCUGAAGUUCUCUGACGGUGCUGCGGUAGAGCAAGUACGUUGGGACCCGAAAGAUGGUGAACUAUGCCUGAAUAGGGCGAAGCCAGAGGAAACUCUGGUGGAGGCUCGUAGCGAUUCUGACGUGCAAAUCGAUCGUCAAAUUUGGG
rnacentral:rRNA from 1 species